rnacentral:tRNA from 1 species
CGGGGUAUCGUAUAGUGGCAAUUACACCGGACUGUAACUCCGGCGCUUCGGCUUCGCAAGUUCGAGUCUUGCUGCCCCGA